AGAAUCAACGUUGGCGGCGUGCCUAACACAUGCAAGUCGAACGAGAAAGUGGAGCAAUCCACAAGUAAAGUGGCGCACGGGUGAGUAACACGUGACUAACCUACCUUGAGUGGGGGAUAACCUAGAGAAAUCUGGGCUAAUACCGCAUAAUACCUUCGGGUCAAAGGAGCAAUUCGCUUAAGGAGGGGGUCGCGGCCGAUUAGUUAGUUGGCGGGUAAUGGCCCACAAGACUAUGAUCGGUAU
rnacentral:rRNA from 1 species